rnacentral:rRNA from 1 species
ACCUUGGGUUUGACAUCCCGAGACUCUGAUGAAAGUCGGGAGUGCCCUUCGGGAACUCGGUGACCGGUGCUGCAUGGCUGUCGUCAGCUCGUGUCGUGAGAUGUUGGGUUAAGUCCCGCAACGAGCGCAACCCUAUCUUUAGUUACCAUCAUUCAGUUGGGGACUCUAAAGAUACUGCCCCGGUCAACGGGGAGGAAGGUGGGGAUGACGUCAAGUCCUCAUGGCCCUUAUGCCCAGGGCUACACACGUGCUACAAUGGACUGUACAAAGGGUUGCAAUCCCGCGAGGAAGAGCUAAUCCCAAAAAGCAGUCCUAAGUUCGGAUUGGAGUCUGCAACUCGACUCCAUGAAGUUGGAAUCGCUAGUAAUCGUGGAUCAGCACGCCACGGUGAAUACGUUCCCGGGCCUU